UCGGGAGUCUCGCACAAUGGGGCAACCCUGAUGCAGCGACGCCGCGUGUGGGAUGACGUCUUUCGGGAUGUAAACCACUUUUGUGAGGGACGAACACAAUGACGGUACCUCACGAAUAAGCCCCGGCUAACUACGUGCCAGCAGCCGCGGUAAAACGUAGGGGGCGAGCGUUGCCCGGAUUUACUGGGCGUAAAGCGCGCGUAGGCGGCUACUUAAGUGGGGAGUUAAAGGCUCCGGCUCAACCGGAGAGGUGCUUCUCAAACUGGGUAGCUUGAGUGUGGGAGAGGGAAGCGGAAUUCCUGGUGUAGCGGUGAAAUGCGUUGAUAUCAGGAGGAACACCGGUGGCGAAGGCGGCUUCCUGGCCUACUACUGACGCUGAGGCGCGAAAGCGUGGGGAGCAAACGGGAUUAGAUACCCCGGUAGUCCACGCUGUAAACGAUGGGUGCUAGGUGUUGGCGGUCUCGACCCCGCCAGUGCCGUAGCUAACGCAUUAAGCACCCCGCCUGGGGAGUACGGCCGCAAGGUUGAACUCAAAUGAAUUGACGGGGUCAUAGCUGUUUCCU
rnacentral:rRNA from 1 species